AUUGAACGCUGGCGGCAUGCCUAACACAUGCAAGUCGAACGGAGCGGCGGACGGGUGAGUAAUGCCUAGGAAUCUGCCUGGUAGUGGGGGAUACCUUCGGGAAAGGGGAGCUAAUACCGCAUACUAUCAGAUCAGCCUCGGUCGGAUUAGCUAGUUGGUGGGGUAAAGGCCUACCAAGGCGACGAUCCGUAGCUGGUCUGAGAGGAUGAUCAGUCACACUGGAACUGAGACACGGUCCAGACUCCUACGGGAGGCAGCAGUGGGGAAGAUUGGACAAUGGGCGAAAGCCUGAUCCAGCCAUGCCGCGUGUGUGAAGAAGGUCUUCGGAUUGUAAAGCACUGUAAGUAGGGAGGCGGUAUCUACAGAAUAAGCACCGGCUAACUACGUGCCAGCAGCCGCGGUAAUUC
rnacentral:rRNA from 1 species